UACGGAGGGGGCUAGCGUUGUUCGGAAUUACUGGGCGUAAAGCGCACGUAGGCGGACUGUUAAGUCGGGGGUGAAAUCCUGGGGCUCAACCUCAGAAUUGCCUCCGAUACUGGCAGUCUCGAGUGCGGGAGAGGUGAGUGGAAUUCCCAGUGUAGAGGUGAAAUUCGUAGAUAUUGGGAGGAACACCAGUGGCGAAGGCGGCUCACUGGACCGGUACUGACGCUGAUGCGCGAAAGCGUGGGGAGCAAACGGG
rnacentral:rRNA from 1 species